rnacentral:lncRNA from 1 species
AUGAUUCCUGAGAGAAGAACACUUAAUGAGUUUCAACCUAGUUUUGUGAAGCUUCAUGACGGUGAAAAUGGGGGAAAAAACAUUUUCUCAGAGUCAAUUACCCAGUACAUAAACGAAAUAUCUACUGAAAUCAGGGCAUUAUUUUCCACUGAGAGUUCCUGCUGCCUGAGCAUCUUUGGGUACUUUACAGACAUGAAGGUGAAGCAUUGGGAGCUCCCCACAGACAGCAGCCAAACUAAAACCGCAUCUCCUUGGACAGAGCUCACUAGAGGGAGCACACACACCGCUGCCUCUGAUCACUAUCACUGCAAUCUGCUGAAGGAGAUUGACUUGAAUUUUCAAGUCUCCUCAACUGCUGAAAGCUAA